AUACUAUAAUGUAUUAAUAUAGGAAAAUUUAGAGAGGCAGUUCUUAUAAUGGUUAAGAGCAGGCUUUGGAAUUAUGCAUACUUGAGUUCUUGGGCAGAUCUUGUUACAUUUUUUUGAUGUGUUAAAAUAGUAAGCUGCGAGAGUUUCCAUAGUACAAAAUCUUGCCCUCCACCUUCCUGUCUUAAUUGAUUUGGCAUUUUUAGAUAAUAUGUUAAACAACAAGCCUCAAGAGUGGCACAUAGUUGUUGUUUUU